rnacentral:misc_RNA from 1 species
GAUGAAGAACGUAGCGAAAUGCGAUAAGUAAUGUGAAUUGCAGAAUUCAGUGAAUCAUCGAAUCUUUGAACGCACAUUGCGCCCCCUGGUAUUCCGGGGGGCAUGCCUGUCCGAGCGUCAUUACAACCCUCAAGCUCAGCUUGGUGUUGGGCCCCGCCGCCCCGGCGGGCCCUAAAGUCAGUGGCGGUGCCGUCCGGCUCCGAGCGUAGUAAUUCUUCUCGCUCUGGAGGUCCGGUCGUGUGCUCGCCAGCAACCCCCAAUUUUUUUCAGGUUGACCUCGGAUCAGGUAGGGAUACCCGCUGAACUUAAGUAUAUCAAUAAGCGGAGGA